AACGAACGCUGGCGGCAUGCCUAACACAUGCAAGUCGAACGAGACCUUCGGGUCUAGUGGCGCACGGGUGCGUAACGCGUGGGAACCUGCCCUUAGGCUCGGAAUAACUCCCCGAAAGGGGUGCUAACACCGGAUAAUGUCUUCGGACCAAAGAUUUAUCGCCUUUGGAUGGGCCCGCGUUGGUUUAGCUAGUUGGUAGGGUAAAAGCCUACCAAGGCGACGAUCCAUAGCUGGUCUGAGAGGAUGAUCAGCCACACUGGGGCUAGGACGCGGCCCGGAAUCCUACGGGAGGCAGCAGUGGGGAAUAUAGGACAAUGGGCGGAAGGCUGAUCCAGCAAUGCCGCGAGAGUGAUGAAGGCCUUAGGGUUGUAAAGCUCUUUUACCCGGGAUGAUAAUGACAGUACCGGGAGAAUAAGCUCCGGCUAACUCCGUG
rnacentral:rRNA from 1 species